rnacentral:rRNA from 1 species
CGAUAGCUAAUACCGCAUAAUAUUAAUUAUUGCAUGAUAAUUAAUUGAAAGGUGCAAUUGCACCACUACCAGAUGGACCUGCGUUGUAUUAGCUAGUAGGUGAGGUAACGGCUCACCUAGGCGACGAUACAUAGCCGACCUGAGAGGGUGAUCGGCCACACUGGGACUGAGACACGGCCCAGACUCCUACGGGAGGCAGCAGUAGGGAAUCUUCGGCAAUGGACGAAAGUCUGACCGAGCAACGCCGCGUGAGUGAAGAAGGUUUUCGGAUCGUAAAGCUCUGUUGUAAGAGAAGAACGGGUGUGAGAGGGAAAGUCACACUGUGACGG